GGGGUAUUGGUCAAGUGGCUAAGACAUCCGACUUUCUAUCGGAUAACGUGGGUUCGAUUCCCACAUACCCUACCA
rnacentral:tRNA from 1 species